AGAUUGAACGCUGGCGGCAUGCCUUACACAUGCAAGUCGAACGGCAGCACGGGAGCAAUCCUGGUGGCGAGUGGCGAACGGGUGAGUAAUACAUCGGAACGUGCCCAAUCGUGGGGGAUAACGCAGCGAAAGCUGUGCUAAUACCGCAUAAGAUCUACGGAUGAAAGCAGGGGAUCGCAAGACCUUGCGCGAAUGGAGCGGCCGAUGGCAGAUUAGGUAGUUGGUGAGGUAAAGGCUCACCAAGCCUUCGAUCUGUAGCUGGUCUGAGAGGACGACCAGCCACACGUGGGACUGAGACCGACGGCCCAGACCUCCGUACGGGAGCAGCAGGUGGGGUAAUUUGGACAAGUGGGACGAAAGCCUGAUCCAGCCAUCGGCCGCGUGCGAGGAGUGAACGGUCCGUU
rnacentral:rRNA from 1 species